rnacentral:rRNA from 1 species
AUAGUAUUGUUUAGUAGCGGACGGGUGAGUAAUCGCAUGAGAACCUGCCCUUCAGAGGGGGACAACAGUUGGAAACGGCUGCUAAUACCCCAUGUGCCGAGAGGUGGAAAGGAGCGAUCCGCUGAAGGAGUGGCUCAUGUCCCUAUCAGCUAGUUGGGUGAGGUAAGGGCUCACCAAGGCGAUGACGGGUAGCCGGCCUGAGAGGGCGACCGGCCACACUGGAACUGAGAUACGGUCCAGACUCCCUACGGGAGGCAGCAGUGGGGAAUAUUGGGCAAUGGGGCGAAAGCCUGACCCAGCGACGCCGCGUGAGGGAAGAAGGCCUUUGGGUCGUAAACCUCUGUUGUAUGGGAAGAAGGAAGUGACGGUACCAUACGAGGAAGUCCCGGCUAACUACGUGCCAGCCGCCGC